rnacentral:rRNA from 1 species
UACGUAGGGGGCAAGCGUUGUCCGGAAUUAUUGGGCGUAAAGGGCGCGUAGGCGGAUAGUUAAGUCCGGUGUGAAAGAUCAGGGCUCAACCCUGAGAGUGCAUCGGAAACUGGUUAUCUUGAGGACAGGAGAGGAAAGUGGAAUUCCACGUGUAGCGGUGAAAUGCGUAGAUAUGUGGAGGAACACCAGUGGCGAAGGCGACUUUCUGGGCCACGACUGACGCUGAGGCGCGAAAGCUAGGGGAGCAAACAGG